GACGAACGCUGGCGGCGUGCUUAACACAUGCAAGUCGAACGGAAAGGCCCUGCUUUUGUGGGGUGCUCGAGUGGCGAACGGGUGAGUAACACGUGAGUAACCUGCCCUUGACUUUGGGAUAACUUCAGGAAACUGGGGCUAAUACCGGAUAGGAGCUCCUGCUGCAUGGUGGGGGUUGGAACGUUUCGGCGGUUGGGGAUGGACUCGCGGCUUAUCAGCUUGUUGGUGGGGUUGUGGCUUACCAAGGCUUUGACGGGUAGCCGGCCUGAGAGGGUGACCGGCCACAUUGGGACUGAGAUACGACCCAGACUCCUACGGGAGGCAGCAGAGGAGAAUAGUGCACAAUGGGCGGAAGCCUGAUGCAGCAACGCCGCGUGCGGGAUGACGGCCUUCGGGUUGUAAACCGCUUUCGCCUGUGACGAAGCGAGAGUGACGGUAAUGGGUAAAGAAGCACCGGCUAACUACGUG
rnacentral:rRNA from 1 species